rnacentral:tRNA from 1 species
GCCUGGGUGGCUCAGUCGUUUAAGUGUCUGACUUCGGCUUGGGUCAUGAUCUCACAGUUUGUGGGUUCAAGUCCCACAUCGGGCU